GACCCGAAACAGCCCUCCCGACACCGCCGCCGCAAGGAACCUCAAGCGGCGUCGCCCAUCAUUUAAUCGACCAAGGUCCGACUCAGAUCGCCCGCUGACGCUGGGACUGGAACAGAGGAAGUGGUAGAGGCAGCCCAGUCGCGCGAGGGGAUCGAGCGCCAGGAUCCCAGCUGAGCCGAGGCGCGCGAGGAGGCGAGCGCGACGAGGUUCAGUCGAGGUUGCGAGGGAAGCCGAUCCACGAUCCAUCCGACGUGGGAAUCCAGCGGGCGCGCCGGAUGCGUAUGAAUCAGGGGCCGACCGAUCCAGCUGGGGGACGCGUGUGAUAAUGGCCGGCGCCUCAUCUCCGGGAAACUGCUCACAAUCAAACUUCGGUUUCUAAGCGUGCGUUCAUGGCGAUUGAUGUGCUAAUCCUUCAACUAUCGAGUGGAAGCAAUUAGAUAUCCUCUCAUACCGAAAAUUGUGCGUACAGUUGAUGUUCAUGCUAGCUGUGCUGGAUUGAUUUAAUUUUGGAGCUUCGCACUGGAUAUUUUUUGCUUAGCAGUUGUGUUCGCCUAAUUCCUCGCCUCCAGGCCGCCGUUGCUCCGGAUCAGUUCUGCUGGCCAAGUGCGAUAUCUUCCUCAACGCCUCUCUGCUCCAAUCGCUGAUUGAAUUUGAAGUUGCCCCGAGAAAAAUGAAACAUACAAGUUCUAUCAUCUCAGGUAGACAACCACACAUACUUUAGUACUCAUGCAUCCCUCUAUUUGGGACGAACACAAUUUUUAUCCUGAUUUUUGUUCAUUUCUUCGGGAAAUUCUUGGAGGCUGUGGUUCUGAUAUUUUAUUUUGUUCAGGAACUCUUUACCUUAUAAUUUGGCAUGGCUAUUGCUUAGAUAUUACGGUGCAGAAUGUAUGUGUAUCAUUCACGCCUUCAAAUAUCUAGAAGCAUGGAAAAUUAUAAAUCCCAUAUUUUGUCAUCUUGUUGUAUUUUUAUUUCUCUCUAUGCUAUCCAGCAAGUGUUAAAUGUUACUGUUGCUUUCAUCCCUGCAGACCACCAGAUUAAUGGUUGAUGCUUCAUUUCUCAGGUAAACCGGACUUUUGUAGUAUCAGGGUUAUACUAAGAAGAGAGCCGGCCUUCUCUCUCUCUCUCUCUCUCUCUCUCUCUCUCUCUCUCUCUCUCUCUCUCUCUCUCUCGUAGAUCGUUUUGAGUUUCUACACCAAGCUAAAAUCUUAAAGGUCUAAAGGCGUCUGAAAUAUCAAACCAUAUGGUCCCCAAAUUCAGGAAAACUUUGAGCAUAAAUUCACAUAUAUUAUAUGGUCAUCUGUAUGUUACAAUUUAGGUUAUAUGAGCAUAGCAGGUUAGAUGAUCUCAUAGCCAUUUAGAAGUCAUUGUUAUUCUCUAUUCCAGGCCAUAUUAUUUUUGUAAAAGUUGCAGAGAAGCUAGCACCUUCUAUUGUGCAAAAGUAGGUUGGCUCGUUGACCUGCAAGGAUCAUGGUAGCUUGCUUUGUGUUCCUACACUCCACGCUCCCUGGAAUACCAUCUUACUUUACCACCAGCACCGUAGCAACGACAAAAUGUAGGCAUCACGAAUAAUACACUUGCAUAUAAGGCAUCACUAAUGGUUUCCUUACAUAUUACUCGACUGCCUCUCUGAAUUUGCAUACAGCCACAUUUGACUGCAAUUGUUGUGCGCAUAAGUGUGGACAAGUGGCUAUCCUACUGUAUUCUUUAGGUAUGUGUAAUCCUUCCACAUGUUCACGGUAAUGUCCGAUGACAAAACUCACCUGGAAUCUGGCCCAUGGCCCUCUAUAGUAGCAUCCAAUAGGUCAUAGCCCUUUUUAUUUCAGAAGGUCAGUGCAUACCACCUUCAUCCUGGAAUGUGGUGGAGGGUAUAUGACUCAUUUGAUUAUUUUAGGCGCAGUGGUAAAGCUGCUGCCUUGUGACCACGAGGUCACGGGUUCAAGUCCUGGAAACAGCCUCUUACAGAAAUGUAGGGAAAGGCUGCGUACAAUAGAUCCAAAGUGGUCGGACCCUUCCCCGGACCCUGCGCAAGCGGGAGCUACAUGCACCGGGCUGCCCUUUUUAAUUACUGGUACUGUAACCCUAUAUUACUAUCCUUGGCAAGUUAUAUCUUUUGUCGUUACAUGAAUUUAGUUUUGAUGGCCUUCUCUUUUCAAAUGUUUGCAUCUAGCUAACUUGCUGUGUAAUUGCUGGAAUUUGUCACAGAUGGAACUGCUGUCCGAGAGAUUAAGGAUGGCUUGCUAUCCAGGACCUGCAAUUGUAGAGGGAUACUGUGAUUUAUAUUAUAUUACAGGAAAUAUUAUCCAUGCUUUUUCUUAUUUCACAAUGAGGUCAAAUUCUGGUGUACUCUUUGUCCUUAUUGCCCUGAUGCCCUCUGAUAUUGGUAAAAAGAACUUCUUUGAGAUAUGUAACUGCGAUGAUCCAUGAAUGCAUAUCUUUCAUGUGACUCA